ACGACUACAUAUCAGGCAUAUCAAUAAGCGGAGGAAAAGAAACUAACAAGGAUUCCCUUAGUAACGGCGAGUGAAGCGGGAAGAGCUCAAAUUUGAAAUCUUAAAGGGUUCUACCUUGACGAAUUGUAGUUUAAAGAAGUGCUUUCCUGUAGUGGAGUUCGGUAAAAGUUCUUUGGAAUAGGACAUCAUAGAGGGUGAGAAUCCCGUAUUUGACCGUUACUUUCCAGCUGUGUGAUACACUUUCAAAGAGUCGGAUUGUUUGGGUAAUGCAGUCCAAAAUGGGUGGUAAAUUUCAUCUAAAGCUAAAUAUUGGCGAGAGACCGAUAGCGAACAAGUACCGUGAGGGAAAGAUGAAAAGAACUUUGAAAAGAGAGUUAAACAGUACGUGAAAUUGUCAAAAGGGAAGCGUUUGACACCAGUGUUGUUUUUCGAAAAUCAAUUCAAGAGUGGUUUGAUUCUAGUAGUAUCGACCUUCAUCAGCCUUCUUCACUUCUUCUCGAGAUUAUUGAAUGCACUUUUCAGGUUAACAAGUCAACAUCAAUUUCUUUUGUUGUAAAAGGGUAUUUGGAAGGUGGCUUUCUUUUCGGAGAAAGUGUUUAUAGCCUUAUACCUCUACAAUCGGAGAGAUUGAGGUCUGCAGCGUAGAUCCUUCGGGGCUAGAUACACUUGUGCUAAGUUAUAGCUUUUCAUAGACAACUUGUUGACUAUGUUUAGUCAUGUAGCUUACCCGCUUGUGCUAUUUUACCUACGCUUAGGAUGUUGAUCUACAGAGCGAGAGU
rnacentral:rRNA from 1 species